rnacentral:rRNA from 1 species
GUAGGUGGCAAGCGUUUGUCCGGAUUUAUUGGGUUUAAAGGGUGCGUAGGCGGUUUUGUAAGUCAGUGGUGAAAUACUCUAGCUUAACUAGAGGGGUGCCAAUGAUACUGCGGAACUUGAGUACAGAUGAGGUAGGCGGAAUUGACGGUGUAGCGGUGAAAAUGCAUAGAUAUCGUCAAAGAACACCGAUAGCGAAAGGCAGCUUACUGGGCUGUAAACUGACGCUGAUGCACGAAAAGUGUGGGGGAUCAAAACAGG